rnacentral:rRNA from 1 species
UACGGAGGGAGCUAGCGUUGUUCGGAAUUACUGGGCGUAAAGCGCGUGUAGGCGGCUAAGUAAGUCGGGCGUGAAAUCCCACGGCUCAACCGUGGAAGUGCACUCGAAACUGCAUAGCUAGAGUCCUGGAGAGGAAGGUGGAAUGCUUGGUGUAGAGGUGAAAUUCGUAGAUAUCAAGCGGAACACCGGUGGCGAAGGCGGCCUUCUGGACAGUGACUGACGCUGAGACGGCGAAAGCGUGGGGAGCAAACAGG